AUACAGAGGGCGCAAGCGUUAAUCGGAAUUACUGGGCGUAAAGCGCGCGUAGGCGGUUUGUUAAGUCGGAUGUGAAAUCCCCGGGCUCAACCUGGGAACUGCAUUCGAAACUGGCGAGCUAGAGUAUGGUAGAGGAUAGUGGAAUUCCGGGUGUAGCGGUGAAAUGCGUAGAUAUCCGGAGGAACAUCAGUGGCGAAGGCGGCUAUCUGGACCAAUACUGACGCUGAGGUGCGAAAGCGUGGGGAGCAAACAGGAUUAGAAACCCCAGUAGUCCC
rnacentral:rRNA from 1 species